CUGACGUCAGCCACCAUUUAUGGGAGCUAUGAGCAGUCAAAACGUGACAUAGUCAUCGAACUUCCGGAGUCCUGACUUAAUUAUUUGAUAUAAAUAAAUGUAUAUUAUAUGCAUAUAUUGGGAUACAUGUAGAAAGAAAUAUACAAAUUUAUAAAUAUAUCACAUAUGACUACUUGUCGUACUUGAAGAAGAAGAGAACACGCAAUUAAGUUGGACCAUAAAAAACCUAGC
rnacentral:lncRNA from 1 species